CAGUCGCCACGGUAAUACGUAGGUGGCAAGCGUUGUCCGGAAUUAUUGGGCGUAAAGGGCUCGCAGGCGGUUUCUUAAGUCUGAUGUGAAAGCCCCCGGCUCAACCGGGGAGGGUCAUUGGAAACUGGGAAACUUGAGUGCAGAAGAGGAGAGUGGGAUUCCACGUGUAGCGGUGAAAUGCGUAGAGAUGUGGAGGAACACCAGUGGCGAAGGCGACUCUCUGGUCUGUAACUGACGCUGAGGAGCGAAAGCGUGGGGAGCGAACAGGAUUAGAUACCCCUGUAGUCCCUGUCUCUUAUAC
rnacentral:rRNA from 1 species